GGGGAAUUUUUUCCGCAAUGGGCGCAAGCCUGACGGAGCAACGCCGCGUGAGGGACGAAGGCCUCUGGGCUGUAAACCUCUUUUCUCAAGGAAGAAGACAUGACGGUACUUGAGGAAUAAGCCACGGCUAAUUCCGUGCCAGCAGCCGCGGUAAUACGGGAGUGGCAAGCGUUAUCCGGAAUUAUUGGGCGUAAAGCGUCCGCAGGCGGCCCAGAAAGUCUGUUGUUAAAAAGUGGAGCUCAACUCCAUCCAGGCAAUGGAAACUACUGGGCUAGAGUGUGGUAGGGGCAGAGGGAAUUCCCGGUGUAGCGGUGAAAUGCGUAGAUAUCGGGAAGAACACCAGUGGCGAAGGCGCUCUGCUGGGCCAUAACUGACGCUCAUGGACGAAAGCCAGGGGAGCGAAAGGGAUUAGAUACCCCUGUAGUCCUGGCCGUAAACGAUGAACACUAGGUGUCGGGGGAAUCGACCCCCUCGGUGUCGUAGCCAACGCGUUAAGUGUUCCGCCUGGGGAGUACGCACGCAAGUGUGAAACUCAAAGGAAUUGACGGGGGCCCGCACAAGCGGUGGAGUAUGUGGUUUAAUUCGAUGCAACGCGAAGAACCUUACCAGGGCUUGACAUCCUGCGAACCCCUGAGAGAUCGGGGGGUGCCUUCGGGAACGCAGUGACAGGUGGUGCAUGGCUGUCGUCAGCUCGUGUCGUGAGAUGUUGGGUUAAGUCCCGCAACGAGCGCAACCCACGUCUUUAGUUGCCAGCAUUCAGUUGGGCACUCUAGAGAGACCGCCGGUGAUAAACCGGAGGAAGGUGUGGAUGACGUCAAGUCAUCAUGCCCCUUACGUCCUGGGCUACACACGUACUACAAUGCUACGGACAAAGGGCAGCAAACUCGCGAGAGCUAGCAAAUCCCAUAAACCGUGGCUCAGUUCAGAUCGUAGGCUGCAACUCGCCUACGUGAAGGAGGAAUCGCUAGUAAUCGCAGGUCAGCAUACUGCGGUGAAUACGUUCCCGGGCCUUGUACACACCGCCCGUCACACCAUGGAAGUUGGCCAUGCCCGAAGUCGUUACUCCAACCCGUAAGGGAGGAGGACGCCGAAGGUGGGGCUGAUGACUGGGGUGAAGUCGUAACAAGGUAGCCGUACCGGAAGGUGCGGCUGGAUCACCUCCUAA
rnacentral:rRNA from 1 species